rnacentral:rRNA from 1 species
AGGAAGUAAAAAGUCGUAACAAGGUUUCCGUAGGUGAACCUGCGGAAGGAUCAUUACCUAGAGUUGCGGGCUUUGCCUGCCAUCUCUUACCCAUGUCUUUUGAGUACCUUCGUUUCCUCGGCGGGUUCGCCCGCCGAUUGGACAAAACUUAAACCCUUUGUAAUUGAAAUCAGCGUCUGAAAAAAACAUAAUAGUUACAACUUUCAACAACGGAUCUCUUGGUUCUGGCAUCGAUGAAGAACGCAGCGAAAUGCGAUAAGUAGUGUGAAUUGCAGAAUUCAGUGAAUCAUCGAAUCUUUGAACGCACAUUGCGCCCCUUGGUAUUCCAUGGGGCAUGCCUGUUCGAGCGUCAUUUGUACCUUCAAGCUCUGCUUGGUGUUGGGUGUUUGUCUCGCCUCUGCGCGCAGACUCGCCUCAAAACGAUUGGCAGCCGGCGUAUUGAUUUCGGAGCGCAGUACAUCUCGCGCUUUGCACUCACAACGACGACGUCCAAAAAGUACAUUUUUACACUCUUGACCUCGGAUCAGGUAGGGAUACCCGCUGAACUUAAGCAUUAUCAAUAGGGGGGA